ACCACACUCUCUUUAGUUUUGAAGUUUCUGUUUGUAAGUGUCCUAGAGAAAUAUAGUAGCUUUCUGUUCACCCUUUGCAAGUAAAAAGGGGUGGAUCAUUCCACUACUGACAUGU
ensembl:snoRNA